rnacentral:rRNA from 1 species
GACGAACGCUGGCGGCGUGCUUAACACAUGCAAGUCGAACGGAAAGGCCCUGGAUUUGUGGGGUGCUCGAGGGGCGAAGGGGUGAGUAACACGUGGGUAAGCUGCCAUUGAGUGUGGGAUAACUUCAGGAAACUGAGGCUAAUAGCGGAUAGGAGCUACUGCUGCAUGGUGGGGGUUGGAUAGGUUCGGCGGUUGGGGAUGUACCGGCGUUGGAUGAGCUGGUUGGUGGGGUAGUGGCUUAGCAAGGCGAGGAUCGAGAGCAGGUGUGAGAGGGUGACCAGCCACACUGGGACUGAGACACGGCCCAGACUCCUACGGGAGGCAGCAGUGGGGAAUAUUGGACAAUGGGCGAAAGCCUGAUCCAGCAAUGCCGCGUGAGUGAUGAAGGCCUUAGGGUUGUAAAGCGCUUUUACCCGGGAUGAUAAUGACAGUACCGGGAGAAUAAGCCCCGGCUAACUCCGUG